CCUACGGGUGGCAGCAGUGAGGAAUAUUGGUCAAUGGACGAGAGUCUGAACCAGCCAAGUAGCGUGAAGGAUGACUGCCCUAUGGGUUGUAAAGCUCUGUCCUCAAGGAAGAUAAUGACGGUACUUGAGGAGGAAGCCCCGGCUAACUACGUGCCAGCAGCCGCGGUAAUACGUAGGGGGCUAGCGUUAUCCGGAAUUACUGGGCGUAAAGGGUGCGUAGGUGGUUUCUUAAGUCAGAGGUGAAAGGUUACGGCUCAACCCCAUCCAGCCGUUGAAACUGGGGAUCUAGAGUGGGCGAGAGGUAUGCGGAAUGCGUGGUGUAGCGGUGAAAUGCAUAGAUAUCAUGCAGAACCCCGAUUGCGAAGGCAGCAUACCGGUGCACAACUGACGCUCAGGCACGAAAGCGUGGGUAUCGAACAGGAUUAGAUACCCUAGUAGUC
rnacentral:rRNA from 1 species